rnacentral:rRNA from 1 species
CCCCUAGAUGUUCUGGGCCGCACGCGCGCUACACUGAACAGUUCAACAAGUCUUAACCUUGGCCUAUAGGUCUGGGUAAUCUUUGAACGCUGUUCGUGAUUGGGAUAGACCUUUGCAAUUAUGGGUCUUCAACGAGGAAUUCCUAGUAAACGCAAGUCAUCAGCUUGCAUUGAUUACGUCCCUGCCCUUUGUACACACCGCCCGUCGCACCUACCGAUUGAAUGGUCCGGUGAAAUCUCGGGACGGCGGCUUGGUCGCUUGCGUCCGACUGCUGAAACUUGAUUAAACCAUAUCAUUUAGAGGAAGGUGAAGUCGUAACA